CCCUUAGAUGUUCUGGGCCGCACGCGCGCUACACUGACGAAUGCAACGAGCUUAUAACCUUGGCCGAAAGGUCUGGGUAAUCUCCAAAUUUCGUCGUGAUGGGGAUAGAUUAUUGCAAUUAUUAAUCUUCAACGAGGAAUGCCUAGUAAGCGCAAGUCAUCAGCUUGCGUUGAUUACGUCCCUGCCCUUUGUACACACCGCCCGUCGCUCCUACCGAUUGAAUGGUCCGGUGAAGCGCUCGGACCGCGGCCUCUUGACGGUUCGCUGUCGAUUGGCUGUGGGAAGUUCGUUAAACCUUAACAUUUAGAGGAAGGAGAAGUCGUAACA
rnacentral:rRNA from 1 species